GUAACAAGGUUUCCGUAGGUGAACCUGCGGAAGGAACAUUA
rnacentral:rRNA from 1 species